AUUGAACGCUGGCGGCAUGCCUUACACAUGCAAGUCGAACGGCAGCACGGGUGCUUGCACCUGGUGGCGAGUGGCGAACGGGUGAGUAAUACAUCGGAACAUGUCCUGUAGUGGGGGAUAGCCCGGCGAAAGCCGGAUUAAUACCGCAUACGAUCUACGGAUGAAAGCGGGGGACCUUCGGGCCUCGCGCUAUAGGGUUGGCCGAUGGCUGAUUAGCUAGUUGGUGGGGUAAAGGCCUACCAAGGCGACGAUCAGUAGCUGGUCUGAGAGGACGACCAGCCACACUGGGACUGAGACACGGCCCAGACUCCUACGGGAGGCAGCAGUGGGGAAUUUUGGACAAUGGGCGAAAGCCUGAUCCAGCAAUGCCGCGUGUGUGAAGAAGGCCUUCGGGUUGUAAAGCACUUUUGUCCGGAAAGAAAUCCUUGGCCCUAAUACGGUCGUGGGAUGACGGUACCGGAAGAAUAAGCACCGGCUAACUACGUG
rnacentral:rRNA from 1 species